CAGGAGAGAAUGUGGAAGUACAAGAAGAGAGAGAGGAGAGAAAAGACGACAUUUUGACUGUAGUUGCUGACCUACAUCGCCGCGUUUGCGCUCGCGACGACGAGGAAAAGCCGCAGCGAAACGACGAGCGGUUCAAAGCGCAGAGGCGGGAAAGCAGAUAAAAUGUUACAAAAAGUGAACGCUAUCAGCGGUAGAAAUUCGCGCUGCCCUCCGCUCCGCAACACCAACACAACCCGGGGAGAAAACGAGAGAAAAGGCACAACUCACCUGAGUCCAAAAGCGGUUUAUGGUGGCGACGUGUCUGUGGAAGAAACCUCCAGCAGGACUGGGCUCAGGAAUGGCCAGUGAGAAGGCUGACCUUGGUCCAAUUCAACAGCCGGUCUACUUUAAAUUGGUGAAAAAGUUAACACUGGUCAUGCUGUUAAGGAGUAACAAUGUAGAGUUCAUUACUUUUGUUGUGGCUUUCAAAGAGGGUCGAAGGUCGAAGAAUCGUGUUUUCUUUUAAAUCAUGUUGAUUGUUGUGUGCGUCCAUUACCUGGGAAACACUUGGCAUCAGGUUGGACUAUAAUAAAGGUUUAAUGCUUUGAGCAAUG